ensembl:lncRNA
AUUAUUAUAACCAGAGAGGAUCAUCUUCACCAUCAUCAUCAUUCUCACAUUCAUCACCACCAUCAUGGUUAUCUUCUCCAGUCCGACCACAAAUUUAGUUAUCUUCACUGUUGCCAUCAUCAUGAUGGCAGCGAAGGUUUUCUUUAUCAUCAUCAUCAUCAUCACAACUUUUACAGGUUCACUGUCGUAAUCAUCAUCAUCAUAACCGCACAUGGUUGUCUGACAUUAGCAGCUGUCAUCAUCGUAACAAUAAAACACCACACUCUGUUUUCACCAUAGUCUUCAUCAUCAGCAACAUGAACUUAUCUUCAUCAUCAUUACUAUUACUAGAAUGACCAUCAGAGCGAGGGGGGAAAUCUUCCUGAUAAAAAACAGACGAAACCCCCCAAACUAGUUAUUGACCAGCCCGAGCGGGUCUGCUUCCUGCUGCCUGCGUCUUAUUUCUUAUUUCUCCUGGACGCGCUCUCUGUCGUGAGCGCGCCAUCACGUGGGAGGUCCCUUUAAGUUUCCAUCGACUGAGGCCUGAGCGUGUCACAUGGACAUGAUAUAAUGAAAAGGCAGGAACAGAGUGAGUGCGCUGGGCUCUUUGCUAAAGGAGAGGGGAGCAGAAAUGUACGCAGUCAUCUGCCGACAGUGUAGAGGGCCAGCGGGGCCGAGCCCAACCGAACGCUGCCGAUCUCGACCGGGCUGGGCCGAGCCGGACAGACUGCGCCUCAUCGGACGGGACCUCUGUGUUCGCCGUUGCACCUGCCAGCUGUGACACGCACUUUAAAAGAGGAGGAAAAUGUCGCCCGUGCGUGCGCAUAUUUCGCACAGUCCCGGAGCAAAGGAGGAGCGCCCUUCGGUGCUCUGCUGGAAGCGAAUGCAUGCUGCAGACGCCUAUGGGCUUCAAAUCAGCAAACAGCACUGGAAUGACGCACCCCUGGCUAAAAGGGAGAUACACCCAUUUUUGUAGGACAAGAGAGACACACAGAAGGAGAGAGUAGCGGGAACUGUAAAUCCGUCACUAUCAGGACACAGCGAGAGCCAGGAAUUACACUUGAAGCUGCUGCUCAGUUAGAGGAUGGCGUCACAUGGGGCCAGCACACAAAGUGUGGGUGUUUUGGGGAUUUAAAGGAGGCGGUUGCUGUGACCGCACUCUGAAGAAAAAGGAGGCUUGUAACUAAAAACUAAAGGGUCACCUGCUGUGCACACAGAAGAGAUGGCAGAAGCGGAAGAAGAAAAGCAGAGAGGCUGUGAUGUAACUACAGCACUGGACUCAGCGCAGAUGGGAGCAGACGGACGGACGGCAGCGAGGAUGACAUCACUGUUACCCGUGGGAGCCUGGGCCUGUCAUUCUUGGUGUCACUUCCUGGGAGAGAAUAGAAGAGGAAGCCAGAGCGAGAGCCGACAACGGGCGCUCCCCUCACCUCCACAAGGAAGCCUUUUUCCCCCGAGAGCAUAAUGUGUGUCCGCUUGUGUCCCUCGCUCACUCCUGCAUUCAUCCCACAGAGGGCUGGUGCUGGUUCAGAAUUUGUGUAAGCCCUGAUUGUUUUCAUUUUCUUUGGGCUCAAGUCUGAGCCUUUUCCAACAAAUCCUUUGAAGAGCUUAUUAUUUUACAUUUCAACGGUAGUUAAAAUAAGUCACAGUGGUGACUUUAUGGGUACGGAUGCAGUAAGCUGUGCCUCUGCAGGCUUUAUUUUGCUGCCCUGGGUCAGCAGUGUUUGGGGAAAAGCUCCGUUUGGAGGGAUAAAAAAACGUGGAGGCCACAGUGACGUCACCUGAUGGUGUUGGACUCUGGGUCGGGGUGAGGCUCGAUCCCUAGCAUUUUGGCCACUGCCACACUUUGUUUCUAUGCUGGAGUUUUCCCAUAUUGGACAAAAGGGGCGAGUGAUACAUUAAAGGUAAUCCUAGCAAGGUUAGCAAGCUGCAUGUGUAGCUUGCAUGGGUCCAGUGGACGCACAUCAUUUCUAAUUAGUCCUUUCCCUGAAUGGUGUAAGCCUCACAUAUUUGUCAGGUGAUUCUGUUUAACUCCAAAAGGCUCCAACAGGAACAGUCCAGUUUGACUCCAGUCUGCACAGAGCCCUCAGUUAACCCCUCAACAUCCACUCGUGUCACCAGAUCAACGAUUAUUCGUAUUGCUGUUUGUUGAUAUUGUGUUACUGUUGUAAAAUGCAGUGACGUGGCUGAAACUACAGCGAGUCAUCAGAAAGAUCAAUGAGCUUCUCUUCCUGUUGGAGUGUUCACAGACAAGAUAAUGGCUGAAAUAAGUUAGUAAGCUCUAUUUAAAUGCCAGCUCGUCAUGAACUUUGAUUUUCUUUUUUAAUCAUGAGGCUUUGUGAUGAUUCAUGUCUGUGUUAAGGUGCUAGCGUAGCUGAUUCAGAGCUGCUAAUGAGUAGAUGUGUUGUUCUACUUGUUUGUCUUCAUCCAACUGAGCAACUCAAACGUAACCAGCUUAGUGCAUACACAGCAUCUUUGUACUAUCCAUCACAUCUACUGUGCAGGCAUACAAAGCAGACACACAUCCUGCUACCUGAUUUGUUUUACACAAAUCCUGAACUCAAAAUGAGCAGGACGCGCUGUGGUUUAGGCGCUGGCAGGCUCUGGUGAGUCUGUGUUUAAAGGCAAAGAAAGGAUGGAAAGAUGACUGCAAUGUAAAAAUGAAAUUAAAGAUGUCCAGGUUUCGGUCCCCGGGACAAGUCACAGCUUUGUUGGAUUGUUUUGUACCGCCGCUGUUUCAUGAAAUGUAUUCCUGGCUGCCCUACAGUGGAUUUGCUUCUGACCUUUGACCUCUCUAACCAACACAAGUGUAUCAAAGCUGAGCCCUCCCUUUGAGGACCCGCAUGGACGUUAUAGAUGUAAUGUCGCCCUCUUGUGUGUGAAUAUAAAAUUGCAGGAUUAAUAUACGAUGUCUUUACAAAACACUGUCUGGUGAAUUUCAGCACUUCUCAGUGUGAGAUCGUAACAUCGGAUGUGGGCAGCUGUUAGAUGGCUCCGCCCUCCAAAGCCUCCACCUCUCUGCAGCACCGACAGCGUAAAGACUUUGUAACCUGGAGGCUCCGAUCGUGGGACACACCUCUGAUCAUCUGACACCCAUGUUUCAAACACCUGGGAGGGCCGCUGGGACAAUGCAUGUACUGUUAGAUUUGUUGUCAUGACGACCUUGCUGGUUAUGUAAGCACUGGGCUCUGGUUCCCACAAACAGUGGUGCACGCAGGUCUUUGUGCUGUGACACUAGAAACCACACACACAGUCACAGUUUGUACAUUCCUCCAGCUGCUCACAUGUCACCCUGCAGCGACUGCAACGAGACAUUUAACCCUCAGAGAUGAUCCAAACCUUAACCCUGUGCUAUCAGCAUGUGUGCUUAAGGUGAGGGCUGUGGCCGACUCGGGGCUGAUACUUUGUUGCAGUUUAACAUCAAGAAUUUGGGUGGCACAGUUUCUUUCAGUAAUUCAGUAAAUUUGUUUCAGUUCCCACCAAAACUGAAGUAAGCUUGCUGGUUUUCUUGGAUUUUUGCUGAUUUCUUGAGCUUGGCCACAAUUUCUCUGGUUGGCUGUUAGUUUCACAACUCCUCCAGUCUGCAUGUUGAGAUGUCAUGUGUGCCACAGGCACAGUACUUUGAGUAAUAAGUGCUAUAGUGAUGCAGUUGGUUAAACUAGCAGGUUCCUCUCUGUAACCUUGAUUGAAUCCAAAGAUUUCGUGACCCUAAAGCAGACUCACAUUUACCAGCUUCUCUGUUGCUCAGGUGCUUCUUCACAUGCUCUGUCUCUCUGGCAACAGCCUGGAAAUGCUGCUGCUCUGGACCAACAACAAUAAAUGUGUGUGUAGAGGUACCCAUGUGUCCGUCUGUACUGAUGGAGCUGAUGUGCCACAUAGAUUUGGCUCUGUAAAGUUAAAUGACGUUGAGCAUACUCAUGUACAUAUCCAUCCAUUCACACUGGUUUUCCUCUCUUACGUCAUGUGGUUCUGUUUUUCUUCUUCCCCUCUGUGUCUGUGGAAGGUGGCAGGUCGUGAGCGUAGACUGACGUGGACUAGAGUGAGUGCUCGUCAUUAUGCUUGUGAUGUCUGAGAGAGCACAAACGCCGUUCACAGUAGCCUCUAUGCAUUCCUCCUGUGGCAGGCGUCCCUGUCUUAUGCUGUCAGCCUCACUUUUUAUGUGACGUCUGUUCUGUUUGAAUUCAUCUUCAUUGCUGGAAGCAAGUAUUCAGGUGCCAGCUGCUCAUGAUGCUGGACUGGCAUAGCAACAGCAGCAAAAAGAAGAGCUGUCACACAGUGCACAGAGCGCAGCAGGGCUGAGAUCACCGUGAUGAGCAGGGCAAAGCCUGCCUCCUCUCUACGACUCACAUUAGACAAGUUGUCCAAAAAUGGUCCAACAGAGAAAAAGUGAAGGUUGAAGGAGAGAGAUCACAGAAAGUCGAUGACAAGCAGCUACAGGGUCACCUAGGCAACUGGAGCCUGGAAUGUCCGCUAGCAACCAAUCGUCAGCUUCAAAGCAAUGCACGACAGCUCGAUGACUUCCUGUGUGGAUGAAAAGUGUUAUAGCUCAUGUUCACAUGCAGUGAAUGCUGAUUCUGAUGGUUGUUUUAAAGUUUGAGGGGUUUUCCAAGUGAAUGUUUGCAGGUAUCCACACAGACUUCAGACAGGCCUGCCUUUAAGUCCUAAAUUUUAAAAUAGUAGACAACUUUCUGUGCUAGAGGUAUCAUAUAUGCAAUGAUAGCAAUAAUAUUUUAAAAUUUAAUAAUACAAAUAAAAAGCUGGUAGUUGUUCUUUUUGUACAUGGUUAUAGGAUUUUCAGUGUAGUUCCCUUGCUUCUGUAGAUUUGAUAAUGAUACCAUUACAUUUCCUUUGUUUUUGCUCAUAGUUGUGGAGUGAAAAUGUAAUAAUGUGACAGUAAAUAUGGAAU